rnacentral:tRNA from 1 species
AAGAUACUAGUAAAGCAUCAACACUGCCUUGUCAAGGCAGAGUCGUGGGUGAAACCCCCACGUAUCUUA